rnacentral:rRNA from 1 species
GACGAACGCUGGCGGCGUGCUUAACACAUGCAAGUCGAACGGUAAGGCCCUUCGGGGUACACGAGUGGCGAACGGGUGAGUAACACGUGGGUGAUCUGCCCUGCACUUCGGGAUAAGCCUGGGAAACUGGGUCUAAUACCGGAUAGGACCCUGGGAUGCAUGUCCUGGGGUGGAAAGCUUUUGCGGUGUGGGAUGGGCCCGCGGCCUAUCAGCGUGUUGGUGGGGUGAUGGCCUACCAAGGCGACGACGGGUAGCCUGCCUGAGAGGGUGACCGGCAACACUGGGACUGGGAUACGGCCCAGACUCCUACGGGAGGCAGCAGUGGGGAAUAUUGCACAAUGGGCGCAAGCCUGAUGCAGCGACGCCGCGUGAGGGAUGACGGCCUUCGGGUUGUAAACCUCUUUCAGCACCGACGAAGCGCAAGUGACGGUAGGCGCAGAAGAAGGACCGGCCAACUACGUGCCAGCAGCCGCGGUAA